rnacentral:rRNA from 1 species
UUAAGUUAUUAAGGGCGCACGGUGGAUGCCUUGGCACUAGAAGCCGAUGAAGGACGUUACUAACGACGAUAUGCUUUGGGGAGCUGUAAGUAAGCUUUGAUCCAGAGAUUUCCGAAUGGGGAAACCCAGCAUGAGUUAUGUCAUGUUAUCGAUAUGUGAAUACAUAGCAUAUCAGAAGGCACACCCGGAGAACUGAAACAUCUUAGUACCCGGAGGAAGAGAAAGAAAAUUCGAUUCCCUUAGUAGCGGCGAGCGAAACGGGAAGAGCCCAAACCAACAAGCUUGCUUGUUGGGGUUGUAGGACACUCUGUACGGAGUUACAAAGGACGACAUUAGACGAAUCAUCUGGAAAGAUGAAUCAAAGAAGGUAAUAAUCCUGUAGUCGAAAAUGUUGUCUCUCUUGAGUGGAUCCUGAGUACGACGGAGCACGUGAAAUUCCGUCGGAAUCUGGGAGGACCAUCUCCUAAGGCUAAAUACUCUCUAGUGACCGAUAGUGAACCAGUACCGUGAGGGAAAGGUGAAAAGCACCCCGGAAGGGGAGUGAAAUAGAACCUGAAACCGUGUGCUUACAAGUAGUCAGAGCCCGUUAAUGGGUGAUGGCGUGCCUUUUGUAGAAUGAACCGGCGAGUUACGAUUUGAUGCAAGGUUAAGCAGUAAAUGUGGAGCCGUAGCGAAAGCGAGUCUGAAUAGGGCGUUUAGUAUUUGGUCGUAGACCCGAAACCAGGUGAUCUACCCUUGGUCAGGUUGAAGUUCAGGUAACACUGAAUGGAGGACCGAACCGACUUACGUUGAAAAGUGAGCGGAUGAACUGAGGGUAGCGGAGAAAUUCCAAUCGAACCUGGAGAUAGCUGGUUCUCUCCGAAAUAGCUUUAGGGCUAGCCUCAAGUGAUGAUUAUUGGAGGUAGAGCACUGUUUGGACGAGGGGCCCCUCUCGGGUUACCGAAUUCAGACAAACUCCGAAUGCCAAUUAAUUUAACUUGGGAGUCAGAACAUGGGUGAUAAGGUCCGUGUUCGAAAGGGAAACAGCCCAGACCACCAGCUAAGGUCCCAAAAUAUAUGUUAAGUGGAAAAGGAUGUGGCGUUGCCCAGACAACUAGGAUGUUGGCUUAGAAGCAGCCAUCAUUUAAAGAGUGCGUAAUAGCUCACUAGUCGAGUGACACUGCGCCGAAAAUGUACCGGGGCUAAACAUAUUACCGAAGCUGUGGAUUGUCCUUUGGACAAUGGUAGGAGAGCGUUCUAAGGGCGUUGAAGCAUGAUCGUAAGGACAUGUGGAGCGCUUAGAAGUGAGAAUGCCGGUGUGAGUAGCGAAAGACGGGUGAGAAUCCCGUCCACCGAUUGACUAAGGUUUCCAGAGGAAGGCUCGUCCGCUCUGGGUUAGUCGGGUCCUAAGCUGAGGCCGACAGGCGUAGGCGAUGGAUAACAGGUUGAUAUUCCUGUACCACCUAUAAUCGUUUUAAUCGAUGGGGGGACGCAGUAGGAUAGGCGAAGCGUGCGAUUGGAUUGCACGUCUAAGCAGUAAGGCUGAGUAUUAGGCAAAUCCGGUACUCGUUAAGGCUGAGCUGUGAUGGGGAGAAGACAUUGNGUCUUCGAGUCGUUGAUUUCACACUGCCGAGAAAAGCCUCUAGAUAGAAAAUAGGUGCCCGUACCGCAAACCGACACAGGUAGUCAAGAUGAGAAUUCUAAGGUGAGCGAGCGAACUCUCGUUAAGGAACUCGGCAAAAUGACCCCGUAACUUCGGGAGAAGGGGUGCUCUUUAGGGUUAACGCCCAGAAGAGCCGCAGUGAAUAGGCCCAAGCGACUGUUUAUCAAAAACACAGGUCUCUGCUAAACCGUAAGGUGAUGUAUAGGGGCUGACGCCUGCCCGGUGCUGGAAGGUUAAGAGGAGUGGUUAGCUUCUGCGAAGCUACGAAUCGAAGCCCCAGUAAACGGCGGCCGUAACUAUAACGGUCCUAAGGUAGCGAAAUUCCUUGUCGGGUAAGUUCCGACCCGCACGAAAGGCGUAACGAUUUGGGCACUGUCUCAACGAGAGACUCGGUGAAAUCAUAGUACCUGUGAAGAUGCAGGUUACCCGCGACAGGACGGAAAGACCCCGUGGAGCUUUACUGUAGCCUGAUAUUGAAAUUCGGCACAGCUUGUACAGGAUAGGUAGGAGCCUUUGAAACGUGAGCGCUAGCUUACGUGGAGGCGCUGGUGGGAUACUACCCUAGCUGUGUUGGCUUUCUAACCCGCACCACUUAUCGUGGUGGGAGACAGUGUCAGGCGGGCAGUUUGACUGGGGCGGUCGCCUCCUAAAAGGUAACGGAGGCGCUCAAAGGUUCCCUCAGAAUGGUUGGAAAUCAUUCAUAGAGUGUAAAGGCAUAAGGGAGCUUGACUGCGAGACCUACAAGUCGAGCAGGGUCGAAAGACGGACUUAGUGAUCCGGUGGUUCCGCAUGGAAGGGCCAUCGCUCAACGGAUAAAAGCUACCCCGGGGAUAACAGGCUUAUCUCCCCCAAGAGUUC